rnacentral:rRNA from 1 species
UGCCAGCAGCCGCGGUAAUACGAAGGGUGCUAGCGUUGUUCGGAAUUACUGGGCGUAAAGAGCAUGUAGGCGGACUAUUAAGUCAGGGGUGAAAUCCCGGGGCUCAACCCCGGAACUGCCUCUGAUACUGGUAGUCUUGAGUUCGAGAGAGGUGAGUGGAAUUCCGAGUGUAGAGGUGAAAUCCGUAGAUAUUCGGAGGAACACCAGUGGCGAAGGCGGCUUUCUGGACCGAUACUGACGCUGAGACGCGAAAGCGUGGGGAGCAAACAGGAUUAGAUA